CUGCACAGAGUCCCCUGGGCCAUCAGCAGCGUCCCGCCUGCCUUUAUUUUCCAGCUUUCCCAGCUGCCAGGGUAGAGCGCAGGCUCACCACGCGGUAACACCCGGGGUAGUGGGAGGGGUACUUCCCAAGCGAAGAGUGCCUGACGGGGAGGGCAAUCCAAGAUUCGAGCUUACUGCUCCAGAGUGACCAGCGGUGGGCCAUCCAGCUGUGACAGCACCACUGGCCGGUUGCUAACCGUGGCUUCUGGAUUCCAGAGCUAGACUUGGGUAACCGUGAGGAUAUAAGAAAGGAACUAGUGUGCCCCCUGUCUCUCUGUGCCAUGGAAUCAGGCCUCUGUUUUCUUCAGGCCCACAGCUUGGCUUGAUACAUAGCGCUGUCACAAUGCUGAUUUGUGUGUAGGCUUUUGUAUCUGAUAAUGGAUUCACAUAUGGAGAAGAAAAGAUCUUUCUUAAUAUCAUUCUAUCAUUUUCAAACAUGACGAUGCUCGGGUGGAUAAAACAAUGCAACCCGUUUGAUGGUAAUUGUAGAGUACAGGCUCCAAAAUCUCACCUCCCACAAGAGGACAGCGGAAAUGAAAUCAUACGGGCAGAGGAACCGUGGCUUGCUUUUCUGGCAGGCCUUACUCUCCUCCUGCAGCGUGAUGUGUUUCAGCUCUGGCUGAGGCCAUGUGAGGCAACAGCUGAUGUCUUCUUGCUUCAGAGGAGGGCGGGACGCUCAUCACGUGGAUAUCUCAGAGGAAAGAUAGUCUUUCCUUCUGUUGUCUGUAUUGGAUGGUUCAGGGAUUGCUGUUCAACUGGCCCUGAGUGGGUGUGGCCAAGGAAGCCACAUGCUUCUCCCUGCUGGCAAAGGCCCACCCGUUAGAAAACCCACCCCGCGUUCUGUCUGACUUCCCGGUAUCCCACACAUGGCAUGUUCCUGGGAUGCAGAACUCCGCACUCGCCGAGGAUAACAGAGGCGUGGGAAAUGCACACCCUGUGCAGUGACUGCUUUGGUCUGAAGAGUUACUGAGAGCUGGUCAAGGUUCCCAAGUGUGUCCCUUGGGAAGGAAUACUCACUGUGGACCUGGGGUGGUGCCGCGUUCACAUAGAUGAUUCUGUGUUGACAGCUCUUGAUGCUGCAAGAACCCACCCAGCAGUCCUAAUCCCCUAUUUUAAAAUAUGAAAUAUACUAACGGGCUGGUGAUGAACUGAAGAUUGCUUUUCUUUACAUCUAAAUGUAAUUGUUUUAAAUACGGACAAGCAGCUAGAUUCCUUUUUUCCCCUCUCUAGUGGAGUCACGCCUGGGCAUUUAAGUACAGAAAUUCAUACUGUUGUUAUAGCCAUA